rnacentral:rRNA from 1 species
AUUGAACGCUGGCGGAAUGCUUUACACAUGCAAGUCGAACGGUAGAGGGGGCAACCCCUCGAGAGUGGCGAACGGGUGAGUAAUAUAUCGGAACGUGCCCAGUCGUGGGGGAUAACGUAGCGAAAGUUACGCUAAUACCGCAUACGAUCUAAGGAUGAAAGCGGGGGAUCGCAAGACCUCGCGCGAUUGGAGCGGCCGAUAUCAGAUUAGGUAGUUGGUGGGGUAAAGGCUCACCAACCAAACGAGCUGUAGCUGGUCUGGGAGGACGACCAGCCACACUGGAACUGAGACACGGACCAGACUCCUACGGGAGGCAGCAGUGGGGAAUUUUGGACAAUGGACGCAAGUCUGAUCCAGCCAUUCCGCGUGCAGGAUAAAGGCCCUCGGGUUGUAAACUGCUUUUGUACGGAACGAAAAGGUCUCUCUUAAUACGGGGGACUCAUGACGGUACCGUAAGAAUAAGCACCGGCUAACUACGUGCCAGCAGCCGCCGUAACAC